GCUCAAAGAGCCAAGCCCCUGCCCCCGCCACGAGCCUCUCGUGUCUGUCGCGCCCGUCGCUGUCGCCAUAUCUGGCCAGUGCCUGACAGGCCGCCGGCCGUUGUCCCUAGCCACGUCCCCGGGAGCCCAACGACCUCGGACUCGAGGCCCACAGCGCGGCGGCGGGGUGGAACAAUCGCGCCAUGAGCGGCCUCUCCCCGGGUCUCCAGAGACCUCUUGGGGCAGCGAAUGGCAGCGAUGAGGGUUCCCCGCUGCCAGCGCAGCCCCCGGAGACGGACCGUGGGAAGGGAGGUUGCUGGAGCCAACCCCAUCUGUCUUGUGGGGCGCAAGGAGCAGUGGCCCCGAGCAGCCCCCUAGACCCUGCCGCCCCCCUGGCAAUCGGCGCUCAAACUCUGGGCAAGGCUCCUGCGUCCUGCCGCGCUCUGGUGCGGCAAACUAGGAAUUCUAGACUGGCUGAACUUCAAGUAUAAAAGCCCUUAAUAAAGGAACUAUGAUCUUCAGUCAAUGGAGAGGAAUGGGAAUAGUGGCAGAAGAUGUAUUCCCUCAUUCCCUCCUGAGAUCCAGAACUUCAUGUUUUCCUUCUUCCUCCGGGCCAGCAUUGGCAACACUGGUCUCCUGCCUCUCGAGGAACGAUGAUUCAGCCAGCUUACAAGAAGGCAGCAAACUUGCAUGUCUUCUGGUGUCAUGCCUGGGAGAGAGGGGGAAGGAUUCAAAUUCUGUGGAACCGAUGGCAGUAGUUUAAAAACAAAACUGCUCAGACAGCUCAGUGGCUGUUGCAGUCCAGGACAGUGUUUCCAUUUCUCCUCCUCAGUCAUGCCCCAUUCAUGAGGCAGGGAACAGUGCUUCACUCCCAUUCACUUUUUGAGAAAUUUCAUGACAGAGGUGUGGGGAAAAACACUCAUGGAAGGGUCACUAAGUGUAUUUUUUUUUUUUUUUUUUUGCUACACAAAUAUACACAAGAGUAUAGUGGGGGUUUUGAAAAAUGAGACCUGGAGGGGAAGGUUGGAGAGUGAGCCCACCUAGCACUCAGUGUGCAGCAGUGGCAUUGAGACCUGUCAGAUGGUGUCACAAUGCUACUCAGGUUUGGCCUGUCAACCCCUCCAUAGAUUGAGAUGGAGGAAUAGAUGGGCUAAACCUGAGUGGCGACAUGGCAGGGUGGUAAGGGAAAUGGGAACGAUUCAGGGUAGCUGGGGAGUCUAAAUCAGGUUGACUUGAUGGGAAGGAGUGAAAGUGCUGCUUCUGGAGGAGAGAAGUAAGAGUAACAGCAUGAUAGAAAGGGAGGCGACUGAUAGAAGUACAAAGACACGGACCAGAAGAAAACAGUAUAAUAAAAUAGAGAAAAUAAAGAAAAGAUUAAAAUUUAAAAAAAAUGCCUAGAAAAUAUUAAAAAGAAAAAAAAAUUGGGAAAACAAUGCAUGACCUGAGGGAAAAAUGGUGAU